UUGGUCGGCUGUAUCAGGUGCGUCAAAAUAAACCUAAAAUGUACAGUUGAGAAGUUGGAGAUGCCGUCUGUUUCAACCAUAGACUGUUUAAAUAUAUUUCAAGUUUAUCCGCUGAAUAAAAAUAGUCUUUUGUUUUUUAAUAAUGUAAAGUCAAACAACUAAACAUGGACUGCUUCACAUCUUAUCAAUGAGGGACAAGCGAGGACAGCUCACACUGAGGAUGCUAACUUGGCAGGAACACUGGGUUACCACCUUACCACAGGUGAAAAUCAAUAAGGAGGAGGAUGAAGUAUGAAGUGGAGGACUGUCAGACUGACCUGUAUGAAACUGAAGGUAAAUGCCGCUAACUGAAGUGUCAUCAAGAAUGUGGGCUACACUGGAACCACGCAACGUCAUGCUAACAAGACAAUACAUGACAGAAGUCGCCGUUCCAAAGCUAUACCCAGACAAAGGAGACAGAGACAGACCCCGCUGCAAGUACCCCACUCUGAAACAGGUCCCUGGAUCUUCUACAGACAAAAUACACCUUUAGUUACCUGUCAGUUGAGUGGUGCUGGUACCAUUGGACGAUGCUCGCCACGUGUUCCUGUGUUUGUGAAUCUCCUGAACUCUACACAUGUAGAAACCCUGGUCCUGCCCAGUGAGAUUCAGGAUCCUGAGCCGGUACACCUCUCCCUCCACUUCCUCAUACAGACGAAACUUUGGUUGGGGGAAACGGCGGGUGUAGUUCCCAUACAUCUUCACUUUCUUUAUACCCAACUUCACGAUGAGAGUCUGAGAUGGCUCAGGUGAAGGAGAGGGGGACAGAGAGGGGGAAGGAGGGGGAGGUGAAAGUGUGGGAGCAGCAAGAGGAGAGAAGAACCAGCGGAGGAUGAGGACACUGGUGCUCCUCUUUCUCUGAGACACCAGGCAGGAGAGGGUCAUGUUGUCUUUCUCUGGGGCCAUGAUAACAGGCCCAGGGGUCACGGUCACAUUCAGGGCGUGACAUACCUCUCUGCCAAUUUCCUCUGUGCCUAUGAUGGGAAGCUCCAUUGCUGUCAAGAUAUCCUACUGCUGUGUUUCAGGCUGUUAGUCAUAAAAACUUACAGUAUCUGAUAAAACUGUAUUUUAACCCCUUCUUGAUUGAUUGAUCAGCAACUAAACAGAUAAUAGAGGGUGACAAUCUGAAGAGAGGUUUGGCGAUAUUUCAAGUUACAACAACAUAUCCUAUGCCUGCUAGCUAUUGUCCGACAAACUAACCUAUCUCAUGCUCCCAUUGGUGGGUAACAGUCCAACACCUGGUGAAUACUGCUUCACAGUGAUAGAAUUAGCUGACAUGGAAGGAUCAUAAAGCAACGUCGCUAUGAACACUUGACCACUACUACCCAGAUAGUCAGAAGUAUUUGCCCCUCUGUUCCAUGGGAGAUGUCCUAUCUAAACACCCCACCCCCCAAGAACACCUGCAACACCUUUUGACUGGAGAAAGCUGAGUCAGGUCUGUCCAGAAGAGACAUGAAGUCUGGUCGCAAUAUGUGUGAUCAGUAAGACAAAAGGAAUCUACAGGUGGGAAACAUUCAUCUUUGGUACGGUCCACCCUGAAACAGGCAGGCACAGAGCAACACGACAAGAUAACGGGGACCAUCUGUGCUGCCUGUUUUUUUCCUGUUUGUUGUUGUGUUGGUUGGGGAAUCUCCCUCAGGGUCUGUCUUAAACUAUUUAAUAUGACAACAAAAGCACAAACAGAGACUCAAACCAAACACACAACUUACCAUAACCAUAAGAUUACAGGGCAGGAAACAUGAGUUUAUGGAAGUUUAUAGAAUGCAAAUUAAUGUGAGGUUUUCUGUGAUCACAGAGAACAAACUUUUUAAAUUCCACAACUGGUUUGACCUUCAACAAUUUGUCAGUAUUACCAGUGGUGUCAUUCUGACUGAUGCACUUACAACUUUUGUUUAAGAAGUUUUUCUUGUGUUUCAUGUUAUUUUCAUGCCAGAGUUCCAGAAAAAAAGCUCAUGCUUUGCGCUUUAAAGUGCAUUAAGUUGAUAAAUCAAGUAAAUACUUCAGAGGCUCUCUUUUUUUGCUUGCCUUCUUACUGUUUUAUAUUUUUGUAAACAAGGUAAACUUACCUGUGACCAGAGCUUUAGUCAGGACAAGGACCACUAUAGAGAAGUACAUUUUCCACAGUCAGCGAAUCCAUAA